CGAAAGGAUUUUUUUAAAUCCUCAAAUUUAUAUUUAAAACUUACUU
rfam:Ophiophagus hannah scaffold940.1, whole genome shotgun sequence.